rnacentral:rRNA from 1 species
UACAGAGGGGGCAAGCGUUGUUCGGAAUUACUGGGCGUAAAGGGCGCGUAGGCGGCCUGCUAAGUCGAACGUGAAAUCCCCGGGCUCAACCCGGGAACUGCGUCCGAUACUGGCAGGCUUGAAUUCGGGAGAGGGAUGCGGAAUUCCAGGUGUAGCGGUGAAAUGCGUAGAUAUCUGGAGGAACACCGGUGGCGAAGGCGGCAUCCUGGACCGACACUGACGCUGAGGAGCGAAAGCCAGGGGAGCAAACGGG